rnacentral:rRNA from 1 species
GAUGAACGCUGGCGGCGUGCCUAAUACAUGCCAGUCGAGCGAACGGACGAGAAGCUUGCUUCUCUGAUGUUAGCGGCGGACGGGUGAGUAACACGUGGAUAACCUACCUAUAAGACUGGGAUAACUUCGGGAAACCGGAGCUAAUACCGGAUAAUAUUUUGAACCGCAUGGUUCAAAAGUGAAAGACGGUCUUGCUGUCACUUAUAGAUGGAUCCGCGCUGCAUUAGCUAGUUGGUAAGGUAACGGCUUACCAAGGCAACGAUGCAUAGCCGACCUGAGUGGGUGAUCGGCCACACUGGAACUGAGACACGGUCCAGACUCCUACGGGAGGCAGCAGUAGGGAAUCUUCCGCAAUGGGCGAAAGCCUGACGGAGCAACGCCGCGUGAGUGAUGAAGGUCUUCGGAUCGUAAAACUCUGUUAUUAGGGAAGAACAUAUGUGUAAGUAACUGUGCACAUCUUGACGGUACCUAAUCAGAAAGCCACGGCUAACUACGUG